rnacentral:rRNA from 1 species
UACGGAGAGUGCAAACGUUGUUCGGAUUCACUGGGCGUAAAGGGCACGUAGGCGGCUCGGCAAAUCGGUCGUGGAAUCUCGACGCUUACCGUCGAAACGGCGGCCGAAAAUACCGGGCUCGAGGGCGUGAGGGGUCACUGGAACUCCUGGUGAAGCGGUGAAAUGCGUAGAUAUCAAGUGGAACACCAGUGGCGAAGGCGAGUCCCUGGACAACUCCUGACACUGAGGCACGAAAGCUAGGGGAGCAAACAGG